CCUACGGGUGGCAGCAGUGAGGAAUAUUGGUCAAUGGACGAGAGUCUGAACCAGCCAAGUAGCGUGAAGGAUGACUGCCCUAUGGGUUGUAAACUUCUUUUAUCAAGGAAUAAAGUGAUGCACGUGUGGCUUUUUGUAUGUACCUUAUGAAUAAGGAUCGGCUAACUCCGUGCCAGCAGCCGCGGUAAUACGGAGGAUCCGAGCGUUAUCCGGAUUUAUUGGGGUUAAAGGGGUCGUAGGUGGGUUGUUAAGUCAGUUGGGAAAGUUUGCGGCUCAACCGUAAAAUUGCAAUUGAUACUGGCAGUCUUGAGUACAGUUGAGGUAGGCGGAAUUCGUGGUGUAGCGGUGAAAUGCUUAGAUAUCACGAAGAACUCCGAUUGCGAAGGCAGCUUACUAGACUGCCACUGACAUUGAUGCUCGAAAGUGUGGGUAUCAAACAGGAUUAGAUACCCUUGUAGUC
rnacentral:rRNA from 1 species